AGAGUUUGAUCCUGGCUCAGGAUGAACGCUGGCGGCGUGCCUAACACAUGCAAGUCGAACGGAGUUACGAGAGCUUGCUUUUGUAACUUAGUGGCGGACGGGUGAGUAAUGUAUGAGCAACCUGCCUUUCAGAGGGGGACAACAGUUGGAAACGACUGCUAAUACCGCAUAAUGUAUUCGGGCGGCAUCGCUUGGAUACCAAAGGAGCAAUCCGCUGAAAGAUGGGCUCAUAUCUGAUUAGUUAGUUGGUGAGGUAACGGCUCACCAAGACUGCGAUCAGUAGCCGGACUGAGAGGUUGAACGGCCACAUUGGGACUGAGAUACGGCCCAGACUCCUACGGGAGGCAGCAGUGGGGAAUAUUGGGCAAUGGGCGAAAGCCUGACCCAGCAACGCCGCGUGAAGGAAGAAGGUCUUCGGAUUGUAAACUUCUUUUAUAAGGGACGAAGAAAGUGACGGUACCUUAUGAAUAAGCCACGGCUAACUACGUGCCAGCAGCCGCGGUAAUACGUAGGUGGCAAGCGUUAUCCGGAUUUAUUGGGUUUAAAGGGUGCGUAGGCGGGAUGUUAAGUCAGCGGUUAAAUAGUGUAGCUCAACUAUACUUUGCCGUUGAAACUGGCGUUCUUGAGUGUAAACGAGGUAGGCGGAAUGUGACGUGUAGCGGUGAAAUGCUUAGAUAUGUCACAGAACCCCGAUUGCGAAGGCAGCUUACUAGGAUACAACUGACGCUGAGGCACGAAAGCGUGGGUAUCAAACAGGAUUAGAUACCCUGGUAGUCCACGCAGUAAACGAUGAAUACUAGCUGUUGGCGAUAUAAUGUCAGCGGUAAAGCGAAAGUGUUAAGUAUUCCACCUGGGGAGUACGCCGGCAACGGUGAAACUCAAAGGAAUUGACGG
rnacentral:rRNA from 1 species